rnacentral:rRNA from 1 species
AUUGAACGCUAGCGGUAUGCUUUACACAUGCAAGUCGAACGGCAGCGCGGACUUCGGUCUGGCGGCGAGUGGCGAACGGGUGAGUAAUGUAUCGGAACGUGCCCAGUAGCGGGGGAUAACUACGCGAAAGCGUAGCUAAUACCGCAUACGCCCUACGGGGGAAAGCAGGGGAUCGUAAGACCUUGCACUAUUGGAGCGGCCGAUAUCGGAUUAGCUAGUUGGUGAGGUAACGGCUCACCAAGGCGACGAUCCGUAGCUGGUUUGAGAGGACGACCAGCCACACUGGAACUGAGACACGGCCCAGACUCCUACGGGAGGCAGCAGUGGGGAAUUUUGGACAAUGGGGGCAACCCUGAUCCAGCCAUCCCGCGUGUGCGAUGAAGGCCUUCGGGUUGUAAAGCACUUUUGGCAGGAAAGAAACGUCGCGGGCUAAUACCCCGUGGAACUGACGGUACCUGCAGAAUAAGCACCGGCUAACUACGUG